UACGGAAGGGGCAAGCGUUGUUCGGAAUCAUUGGGCGUAAAGAGCUCGUAGGCGGUCUGUCACGUCGGCUGUGAAAACCCGGGGCUCAACCCCGGGCCUGCAGUCGAUACGGGCAAACUAGAGUUCGGCAGGGGAGACUGGAAUUCCUGGUGUAGCGGUGAAAUGCGCAGAUAUCAGGAGGAACACCGGUGGCGAAGGCGGGUCUCUGGGCCGAUACUGACGCUGAGGAGCGAAAGCGUGGGGAGCGAACAGG
rnacentral:rRNA from 1 species